CAGCAAUGCGUUUCUUGCGCAGGAAUGGUGUCACCUAGCAAGGGAAGAUGUCCUCCGCUUGCGCAGAACUCCGGCCUUAGUUAGCUUUUUUUAAAAAAAAAAAAACUUCCAAUCUCCAACCACGACUCUGCACUUCACAGGAACUACAUUGAAUUUCUUCAGAAAGUAGAGGAAAGUUGUGCCUUGGAAAACCAUGAAGAAGAUUUACUUGAAUUUGGGUUAGGUAUGUAUUUGUUUAAUUAGUAACUGAUUGAUUCUUAAUGUAAUAUUUCAAUAACUCAUCUCCAGUGAAUGUAAUAUCAGUGUGAGAAUGAAUUUUUCCUGCCCUUCUGGAAUCCUGAAGAAAAUUAUCAGUGAUUCAGAUGUGGUGAGUAUUUUGGACAUGUUUAUCCAAGUCAUCCAGGAUAUCUGUCAGAGGUAACCACAUAUAUCAUGGUAAUGUUUGUUUAAUAUGUCUGAAAUCAUAUUUGUCAUAUGUAGUCUUUCCCCAUCUUGUUGGGAAAAUGUUUCUUGUUCAUUCCCAUGGCUUAAAAAGUCUGAACAAUAUAAAUAGUCUUGUGAGAUCUGCAAGUAGCAAGCAACAUUACAUAUGUCAUACAGGAAGAUUAGUGUGAAGAUUCCGUCUAAUGAAUUAGUGUUCCACACUGCAUGUUUCAGGACGCAGAGCACGGGGAUCAUCAGUGCUUCAGAUAUGCAUAUUGUAUUUAUUUAUAUGUCCAUUUAUAGGAUAUUGAGUUUCAGAGAAUGUGUCGAAUAACUGUUUGCUCUUCUUCUAAAUAUUGAUGAAAUGAAUCACAAAAGAUGAUUUAGCUAUCUUCGUCAACAUCCAUCACUUGUUGUAGGAUCUAAAUUUUAUAAGCAAAUAUUUUUAGGUCUUUUCCGAUUGUUUUAAACAUUUAAACCAACCUCUUGUGACAGCCAUUUUACAGACUUUCCUUGGCUGCGCACAAGUGCGGCGUACAUGCUGUUUCUUUUCAUGUACCUGAAAGAUGCAGAAUGUCUGAUCAAUGCUGCCUGAUUACAUAAAAAUGUUCGGUGGUAAUCGAAUAUAAUUCCAUGCAUGUAUUCAAUUAACCUUGAUGGAGAAUGUUGUAUUUAGAAUGAAAUAGUUACCCCCACUUUAUGAGGUCUUCUCUUUAAUCCACAGAGAGAAAACCUCCUGUUAUGUAGUGACAUGGGACCCACAUAAUAUGGCCUUUUCACUGAUUUAUUUUUAAGCACAUUUGAAACUAAAGGCUAUUCAAAUAUACCUAUUGGCUUCGCUAUGACUAUUAAUCUGUCCAUAUGUAAGAACUUGGGAAGAAACAGAUAAUUUGAAUUUCAAGAUGUUUUAUGUUAGGGAAUUUUUCUAUUUGAAGAGACAUUUCAGUUUUGUUCAGUGUCAUGAUUGCAACAUUUGGUAUUUUACAUUAAAGCCUAAUGUGCUUUUGCUUGUGAAAGUGAGUUUGUGGUAGUAGUAAAGAAUCGCCAACUAGCUACGCAACCACACUGAGAAAAUCUAAGCUGUCAUUCUUCAUAUUGAUAUCAUCUGCCAUCCAAACAGAGGCCAGGCACCCUACUCAAGCUAAGGUCACUGGCAACAUUCACAAAGGCCGAAUUGCUGUGAAUAUGUCAGGAUGGUUGCACUUGACACACUUGUCCUCUUUUUUUGCCAAUCCUACUUGUUCAGUGUUUAUGAUAUUCUGUUCUUGGGCUAAAGAGAUUCAUGGGUUACAAGAAGUUAUUAAGCAUUUGAUGCAAGUUCAUUUAUAUCCAACUAAAAUGAUAAUUAAUUUAGUUGGAUGUGAGUGAACUUGAGGUUAAAUUAUUUUAGAUUCUCCUUUCACUCUUAUCUGUACUGUAGAUUGAACCCCAGUAUGUGGUUAACUAAAUUGCUCGAAAGAUUUUUAUCAGAAGGUUCACUAUAUUGCAUAUAAUUAUAUGUCACCAUUAUAGCGACAUCUGUGUAUCCUUCCUUUACGAUGCUUUAGAUAUCAAUAAAUGGAUUGGUUAACCUCUCUUUUUUCUCUCCCCAUCAGACUAAGCAAUGUGAGUAGGGUUUUCUAACAACAAAUCUGGUUGGAUGAAGCAAACUUGAACUUUGACAUCAUGUUAUGGAAUGUGAAUAUGUGGUUUGAAUAUGUAACUCUUAUGCAUUUCUGCAUGUUGUCAGUCAAGAGUUUGUUUACUAUGUAUAAAUUACAAUCCUGGCAAGUGUGUAACCUAUUUGUCUCUAAUGUAUGUAAGAAAUCAUUUAAUCUAAAAAGUGCUCUGAAGACACAUCAGCUUACGCACAGUGGAGAAAGGCCGUUUUCCUGUGAUUACUCUGUCGAUGAAUUUCAAAUGUUUACAAGUAAGUCGUAAUUUACCUAUUGUAUCCUUUGUUUAUAUUUUUGUGACAUUUAUAUGACUUGUAUUUGUAUAACAUGUAUUGUAUUAUUAUGACUUAUUCUACAUCCUAUUGUCAUCUGACUAACUUAUGGAUCCAUGGAAUGUAAUAAAGAUGUAUGUAUGUAUGUAUAACGUCACAGAGUUAUCAGUAAUCUGAAGGAACAUCUGCGUACAUACAGUGGAGAAAGGCCAUUUUCCUGAGAUUUGUGUAACAGGUCAUUUAGAUAUAAGUCACAUCACAGGAAAAUGGCCUUUCUCCACUGUGCGUAAUAGAUCAAACAACAACAGAAGUGUUUUGAAGAUACAUCGGCACAUCCACAGUGGGGAAGCGGGCAUAUUAUAUGUGAAUUGUGUAAGAAGUCUCGUUCGGAUGGAUUCUUUGAAGAAACAUCUGCUUGUACAUGGAAGACAACAGCCACAUUUAUGUGAUGUAUAUUGUAAAUGAUUCCUUUGCCAGCGUAAUGUCAUUAAUGAUUAAUCUUUAUUUCAGUCACAUUAAAUCUAUUCAUUAAUAGAAUAAUCUGAUUUGUCAAUACUUGCUUGAAUUGUGCAUAUUCUUGUGAUAUAUGUAGGUCUUCCUAUUAUCAGAAGAGUCAGAUUAAUGUAACUAAAUGCAAUAAAAUCUUCUCGCAUCUCC